rnacentral:rRNA from 1 species
ACUCAAAUGAAUAGACGGGGGCUCACACAAGCGGUGGAGCAUGUGGCUUAAUUCGAGGCUACGCGAAGAACCUUAUCCUAGGCUUGACAUGUUCGAAAGAGGUAGGAAGUAGGAAGCGGAAACGCUUACGAACGGUAUCCAAUCCGGAACCUACUACAGGUGCUGCAUGGCUGUCGUCAGCUCGUGUCGUGAGAUGUCGGGUUAAGUCCCAUAACGAGCGAAACCCUUGUUUCCAGUUGCCAGCGGGUCAUGCCGGGGACUCUGGAAAGACUGCCGGUGUCAAACCGGAGGAAGGUGGGGAUGACGUCAAGUCCUCAUGGCCUUUAUGCCUAGGGCUGCACACGUGCUACAAUGCCGUGAACAAAGGGACGCAAACUUGCAAAAGGGAGCUAAUCCCAGAAAACACGGCCCAGUUCAGAUCGAAGGCUGCAACUCGCCUUCGUGAAGUUGGAAUCGCUAGUAAUCGCGGGUCAGCUACACCGCGGUGAAUGUGUUCCUGAGCCUUGCACACACCGCCCGU